rnacentral:rRNA from 1 species
GCAAGUCGAGCGAGUGAAGUCCUCGGGGACGGAGUAGCGGCGGACGGGUGAGUAACACGUGGGUAACCUGCCUCAGUAGAGGGGAAUAGCCUUCCGAAAGGAAGAUUAAUACCGCAUAAGAUUGUAGUUUCGCAUGAAACAGCAAUUAAAGGAGUAAUCCGCUAUGAGAUGGACCCGCGUCGCAUUAGCUAGUGGUGAGGUAACGGCUCACCAAGGCGACGAUGCGUAGCCGACCUGAGAGGGUAAUCGGCCACAUUGGGACUGGGACACGGCCCAGACUCCUACGGGAGGCAGCAGUGGGGAAUAUUGCACAAUGGGGGAAACCCUGAUGCAGCCAACGCCGCGUGAGUGAUGACGGUCUUCGGAUUGUAAAGCUCGUGUCUUCAGGGACGAUAAUGACGGUACCUGAGGAGGAAGCCACGGCUAACUACGUGCCAGCCGCGGC